rnacentral:rRNA from 1 species
UACGGGGGGGGGCAAGCGUUGUUCGGAAUUACUGGGCGUAAAGGGCUCGUAGGUGGCCAACUAAGUCGGACGUGAAAUCCCUCGGCUCAACCGAGGAACUGCGUCCGAUACUGGUGGGCUUGAAUCCGGGAGAGGGAUGUGGAAUUCCAGGUGUAGCGGUGAAAUGCGUAGAUAUCUGGAGGAAUACCAGUGGCGCAAGCGGCGCCCUGGCCGUGACCUGACACUGAGCCACGACGGCGUGGGGAGCAAACGGG